rnacentral:rRNA from 1 species
UACGUAGAGUGCAACGACGUUGUCCCGGAAUUAGUUGGGCGUAAAGGGUACGCAGGCGGAUAGUAAAGUCAAGCGUGAAAGGUGUCGGGCUUAACCGACAGACUGCGUUUGAAACUGGAUUAUCUUGAGUGUAACAGAGGAGAGUGGAAUUCCUAGUGUAGUGGUGAAAUACGUAGAUAUUAGGAAGAACACCAGUGGCGAAGGCGACUCUCUGGGUUAACACUGACGCUGAGGUACGAAAGCUGGGGGGAGCAAACGGGGAUUAGAUACCCCGCGUAGU